UACGGGGGGAGCAAACGUUGUUCGGAAUCACUGGGCGUAAAGGGCGUGUAGGCGGUUCGGUAAGUGGAAUGUGAAAUCCCCCGGCUUACCCGGGGAACUGCAUCCCAUACUGCUGGACUUGAGUGCGGGAGAGGAUGGAGGAAUUCCUGGUGUAGCGGUGAAAUGCGUAGAUAUCAGGAGGAACACCGGUGGCGAAGGCGGGUCUCUGGGCCGUAACUGACGCUGAGGAGCGAAAGCGUGGGGAGCGAACAGG
rnacentral:rRNA from 1 species